AUGACUGUUAGGGAAAUUGGUAUUUUUAAGCGCUUGUCAUGGCUUAUGGGACAUAAUCAAAGGAUAUGCCUUAUAUUUGCAUAACCUAUGAUGAUAUUCUUAGUUAGCUGGUGUGGUAGAGUUUGGCAUAUCUCUUUGUUUUGGAGCCAAACAAAGAGUCUAAAUGAUCUAAUUUGUGAUCCCAAUAGUGUUACUAGCAUGACUAAUUCUCGAUAAAUAGAUUAUUAGAAGAAUAGUUAUAAGAAUUUAUAAAAUGAAUGGGGCCAUGUUUUAAAGUAAUAGUGUAUCAUCAUUGAGACCCCUAAGACAUGUGCAUAAUGCUUAUUUAUCUUGAUGAUUUGGGUUCUCAUUUGCAGCACCAUCAGUGGUAAGCAGCUCAAGAAUCCU
rnacentral:lncRNA from 1 species